UUGCAGCAAUGCAAGGCAGACGGCUCAGUAACGCGUAGUCAACCUAACCUAUGGACGGGAAUAGCCUCGGGAAACUGAGUAUAAUGCCCGAUAGAACACUAUACCUGGAAUGGUUUGUGUUCCAAAUGAUUUAUCGCCGUAGGAUGGGACUGCGGCCUAUCAGUUUGUUGGUGAGGUAAUGGCCCACCAAGACUAUUACAGGUACGGGCUCUGAGAGGAGUAGCCCGGAGAUGGGUACUGAGACACGGACCCAGGCCCUAUGGGGCGCAGCAGGCGAGAAAACUUUGCAAUGUGCGAAAGCACGACAAGGUUAAUCCGAGUGGUUUCUGCUAAAGGAACCUUUUGUCAGUCCUAGAAACACUGACGAAUAAGGGGUGGGCAAGUUCUGGUGUCAGCCGCCGCGGUAAAACCAGCACCUCAAGUGGUCAGGAUGAUUAUUGGGCCUAAGCAUCCGUAGCCGGCUCUGUAAGUUUUCGGUUAAAUCUGUACGCUCAACGUACAGGCUGCCGGGAAUACUGCAGAGCUAGGGAGUGGGAGAGGUAGACGGUACUCGGGAGGAAGUGGUAAAAUGCUUUGAUCUCUCGAUGACCACCUGUGGCGAAGGCGGUCUACCAGAGCACGUCCGACGGUGAGGGAUGAAAGCUGGGGGAGCAAACCGGAUUAGAUACCCGGGUAGUCCCAGCUGUAAACUAUGCAAACUCGGUGAUGCAUUGGCUUGUGGCCAAUGCA
rnacentral:rRNA from 1 species